CCUACGGGUGACAGCAGUGAGGAAUAUUGGUCAAUGGGCGGAAGCCUGAACCAGCCAAGUAGCGUGCAGGAUGACGGCCCUACGGGUUGUAAACUGCUUUUAUACGGGAAUAACGCGCCUUACGUGUAGGGCUUUGCAUGUACCGUAUGAAUAAGGACCGGCUAAUUCCGUGCCAGCAGCCGCGGUAAUACGGAAGGUCCGGGCGUUAACCGGAUUUAUUGGGUUUAAAGGGAGCGUAGGCCGCAUGUCAAGCGUGCUGUGAAAUGUCCGGGCUCAACCCGGGCCUUGCAGCGCGAACUGGCGAGCUUGAGUCCGCGGAAGGCAGGCGGAAUUCGUGGUGUAGCGGUGAAAUGCUUAGAUAUGACGAAGAACCCCGAUUGCGAAGGCAGCUUGCUGGAGCAGAACUGACGCUGAUGCUCGAAAGCGCGGGUAUCGAACAGGAUUAGAUACCCCUGUAGUC
rnacentral:rRNA from 1 species